rnacentral:rRNA from 1 species
UACGGGGGGGGCAAGCGUUGUUCGGAAUUACUGGGCGUAAAGGGCUCGUAGGCGGCCAACUAAGUCGGACGUGAAAUCCCCAGGCUCAACCUGGGAACUGCGUCUGAUACUGGAUGGCUUGAAUCCGGGAGAGGGAUGCAGAAUUCCAGGUGUAGCGGUGAAAUGCGUAGAUAUGUGGAGGAACACCGGUGGCGAAGGCGACAUCCUGGACCGGUAUUGACGCUGAGGCGCGAAAGCCAGGGGAGCAAACGGG